rnacentral:rRNA from 1 species
UGCUGUUUCGCUGACGAGUGGCGGACGGGUGAGUAAUGUCUGGGAAACUGCCUGAUGGAGGGGGAUAACUACUGGAAACGGUAGCUAAUACCGCAUAACGUCGCAAGACCAAAGAGGGGGACCUUCGGGCCUCUUGCCAUCGGAUGUGCUCAGAUGGGAUUAGCUAGUAGGUGGGGUAACGGCUCACCUAGGCGACGAUCCCUAGCUGGUCUGAGAGGAUGACCAGCCACACUGGAACUGAGACACGGUCCAGACUCCUACGGGAGGCAGCAGUGGGGAAUAUUGCACAAUGGGCGCAAGCCUGAUGCAGCCAUGCCGCGUGUAUGAAGAAGGCCUUCGGGUUGUAAAGUACUUUCAGCGGGGAGGAAGGGAGUAAAGUUAAUACCUUUACUCAUUGACGUUACCCGCAGAAGAAGCACCGGCUAACUCCGUGCCAGCAGCCGCGGUAAUACGGAGGGUGCAAGCGUUAAUCGGAAUUACUGGGCGUAAAGCGCACGCAGGCGGUUUGUUAAGUCAGAUGUGAAAUCCCCGGGCUCAACCUGGGAACUGCAUCUGAUACUGGCAAGCUUGAGUCUCGUAGAGGGGGGUAGAAUUCCAGGUGUAGCGGUGAAAUGCGUAGAGAUCUGGAGGAAUACCGGUGGCGAAGGCGGCCCCCUGGACGAAGACUGACGCUCAGGUGCGAAAGCGUGAGGAGCAAACAGGAUUAGAUACCCUGGUAGUCCACGCCGUANACGAUGUCGACUUGGAGGUUGUGCCCUUGAGGCGUGGCUUCCGGAGCUAACNCGUUAAGU